UUUUAUCUGUUUACCCUCCUUGGAGUUAGGUAGAAGCUUUAAAUUUCCUUGUCAUGGUAUCAUUUUAAGUUUGGGGUUGCUUCUGGAAUUAGCAACAUCUUAAGUUUGGGGUAGGGGUACUAGAGAACAAAAAAAAAAGAAUAAUAGAGACUCACAAAAAAAUAAUUGAGUUUCUUAAAAAAAAGAGAAUAAAGAGCCAUUAAGCAUGAAAAAUAGUGGCAUCUUAAAAAAAAAAUGAUGAAAAAUAAGUUCUCUAAGUACCUAAUCAACAAUGAAUUGAGCCCCGGUUAUGGUAAUUUUUCAAUAAGGAAUAGUAGUUGAUAUCUAACUCCAAUUUAGCCUACUUUUCCCAAAUUUAUCCCGCCAUUUACCCAAGCCAAGUUACAACCUUUAAGACCUCAAAAAUGUGUGUCAUGUAUUUACUUUGAUUGACGGUUUAGAAUUUUUUUCAAGCUUAUGGUAAAAUAGCAUUUGCAUGUUGAUGGAGUGAAUACCCUGUCAAAAUUGAGUAAAUUAGUGAGUGAGAGAUAAGGUUGAACUUUGAACAUCGUGUGGAAUGAUCAUUGAAC
rnacentral:lncRNA from 1 species